rnacentral:rRNA from 1 species
UACGGGGCGCAGCAGGCGCGAAACCUUUACACUGCACGCACGUGCGAUAGGGGAAUCCCAAGUGCGAGGGCAUACUAGCCCUCGCUUUUGUGUACCGUAAGGAGGUACACGAAUAAGAGCUGGGCAAGACCGGUGCCAGCCGCCGCGGUAAUACCGGCAGCUCGAGUGAUGUCCAAUAUUAUUGGGCCUAAAGCGUCCGUAGCUGGCCAGACAAGUCCGUCGGGAAAUCCACCUGCCCAACAGGUGGGCGUCCGGCGGAAACUGUGUGGCUUGGAACCGGAAGGCUCAGAGGGUACGUCCGGGGUAGGAGUGAAAUCCUGUAAUCCUGGACGGACCACCGAUGGCGAAAGCACUCUGAGAAGACGGAUUCGACAGUGAGGGACGAAAGCUAGGGUCUCGAACCGGAUUAGAUACCCGGGUAGUCCUAGCUGUAAACGAUGCUCGUUAGAUGUGGCACACACUACGAGUGGGUGCUGUGUCGUAGG